rnacentral:rRNA from 1 species
CAGCAGCCGCGGUAAUACGUAGGGUGCGAGCGUUAAUCGGAAUUACUGGGCGUAAAGCGUGCGCAGGCGGUUAUAUAAGACAGAUGUGAAAUCCCCGGGCUCAACCCGGGACCUGCAUUUGUGACUGUAUAGCUAGAGUACGGUAGAGGGGGAUGGAAUUCCGCGUGUAGCAGUGAAAUGCGUAGAUAUGCGGAGGAACACCGAUGGCGAAGGCAAUCCCCUGGACCUGUACUGACGCUCAUGCACGAAAGCGUGAGGAGCAAACAGGAUUAGAGACCCCCGUAGUCCCUGUCUCUUAUAC